AGUGAACGCUGGCGGCGUGCCUAAUACAUGCAAGUCGAACGGAGUGGCGCACGGGUGAGUAAUAUAUAGCUAAUCUGCCCCUUGCUGGAGGAAAACAGUUAGAAAUGUCUGCUAAUACACCACAGAAAGGGAGGAGACUAUAUCGUAUCAGCUAGUCGGUGGGGUAACGGCCUACCGAGGCUAUGACGCGUAACUGGUCUGAGAGGAUGAUCAGUCGAAUGGGAACUGAGGCAGCGUCGAGACACCUUCGGGAAGCGGCAGUAGGGAAUAGUGCGCAAGGGGGGUGAGCCUGACGCGGCAUCGCCGCGUGGAGAAUGACACGUUUCGGGGCGUAUACUCCUUUUGUUAGGGAAUCGGUACCUAACGAAUAAGCACCGGCUAACUCCGUGCCAGCCGCCGCGGUAAUUC
rnacentral:rRNA from 1 species